UUGUUUAUUCCUCUCAAAAAUAGUAGGUAUAGCACUGAAUAUCUCGAGGGAGUAUGAAAAUAUUUAUCUCAGAUAUUUAAUCUCAAAAUAACUAUUUCUUAAAAUAAAUAAUCAGACUAUGUGCGAUAAGGUAGAUAGUCGAAAGGGAAACAGCCCAGAACAGUAAUUAAAGCUCCCCAAUUAAUAUUAAGUGAA
rnacentral:rRNA from 1 species